rnacentral:rRNA from 1 species
CAUGCGGGUGCUUACCUGCAAGUCGAACGGAGAUUCAGCAAUGGAUCUUAGUGGCGAACGGGUGAGUAACGCGUAGGCAAUCUGCCUUCUAGAUGGGGACAACAUCCCGAAAGGGGUGCUAAUACCGAAUGUUGUAGUUGGUUCGCAUGGACUAGCUACUAAAGGUGGCCUCUGAAUAUGCUACCGCUAGAAGAUGAGCCUGCGUCUGAUUAGCUAGUUGGAGGGGUAACGGCCCACCAAGGCUUCGAUCAGUAGCCGGUCUGAGAGGAUGAACGGCCACACUGGGACUGAGACACGGCCCAGACUCCUACGGGAGGCAGCAGUGGGGAAUCUUCCGCAAUGGACGAAAGUCUGACGGAGCAACGCCGCGUGAGUGAAGAAGGUUUUCGGAUCGUAAAGCUCUUUCGUUAGGGACGAACGUGCUCUUUGUGAAUAAUGAGGAGUAAUGACGGUACCUAAAUAAGAAGCCACGGCUAACUACGUGCCAGCAGCCGCGGUAAUACGUAGGUGGCAAGCGUUGUCCGGAAUUAUUGGGCGUAAAGCGCGCGCAGGCGGGAUAUCAAGUCUGUCUUAAAAGUGCGAGGCUCAACCUCGUGAGGGGACGGAAACUGGUAUUCUUGAGUGUCGGAGAGGAAAGUGGAAUUCCAAGUGUAGCGGUGAAAUGCGUAGAGAUUUGGAAGAACACCAGUGGCGAAGGCGACUUUCUGGACGAUGUCUGACGCUGAGGCGCGAAAGCUAGGGGAGCGAACGGGAUUAGAUACCCCGGUAGUCCUAGCCGUAAACGAUGGGUACUAGGUGUAGGGGGUAUCGACCCCUCCUG